rnacentral:lncRNA from 1 species
AUCGGCUGUGGACACUAUAUGUUGGUCUGAGGAUUUUAUGGAUUGAAUAUGAUUAUUGUCAAAGGUCAUGUGAUUUGUGGCACCAGAAUCAAUUAUCCAUUCACUAUGACUAACAGAGGUAUGAAGAGCCUUACCCACAUUCCCAGAAGUAGCAAUGAAAGAGGAAGCUUUCUCAGCUUUCUCGGGAUUACUGGUGGAAGCAUGACUAGGCUCGACCACAGCAACGGAAGCAUGAUGGUUUGUCUUUGAAUUUCGUUUGCGAGGUGCCUUGGCAAAAUCCCACCAUUCUGGAUAUCCAAUCAAUUCAUAGCACCGUGACUUAGUGUGUCCAGUUCCACCACAAUGAGUACACAUACGUUCUGGUCGUGCAGCUCCUAUUUCGUAGCUGCAAUUUUGUGAUCCAACCGGCUGAU